AACGCUAGCUACAGGCUUAACACAUGCAAGUCGAGGGGCAGCGGGGGCGAAAGCUUGCUUUCGCCUGCCGGCGACCGGCGCACGGGUGAGUAACACGUAUGCAACCUGCCCGCAGCAGGGGGAUAAGCCGGAGAAAUCCGGUCUAAUACCGCGUAACACCCUGAGGGGACAUCCUCUUGGGGUCAAAGGAGCAAUCCGGCUGCGGAUGGGCAUGCGUCGCAUUAGGCAGUUGGCGGGGUAACGGCCCACCAAACCGACGAUGCGUAGGGGUUCUGAGAGGAAGGUCCCCCACACUGGUACUGAGACACGGACCAGACUCCUACGGGAGGCAGCAGUGAGGAAUAUUGGUCAAUGGGCGGAAGCCUGAACUAGCCAAGUCGCGUGAGGGAAGACGGUCCUAUGGAUUGUAAACCUCUUUUGCCGGGGAGCAAGCCGGGUCUGCGGACCCGUGUUGAGAGUACCCGGAGAAAAAGCAUCGGCUAACUCCGUGCCAGCAGCCGCGGUAAUACGGAAGGUCCGGGCGUUAUCCGGAUUUAUUGGGUUUAAAGGGAGCGCAGGCGGUCUUAUAAGCGUGACGUGAAAUGCAGCGGCUCAACCGUAUGAUGUGCGUCGCGAACUGUGAGACUUGAGUGUAUUCGAUGUCAGCGGAAUUUGUGGUGUAGCGGUGAAAUGCUUAGAUAUCACGAAGAACUCCGAUUG
rnacentral:rRNA from 1 species